rnacentral:tRNA from 1 species
AGAGACUUAGGUUAGCAUGCAGACCAAGAGCCUUCAAAGCCCUCAGCGAGAGUGAAAAUCUCCCAGUCUCUG